UGACCUAUGAUAUAUGUCUUCCCUCCUUGC
rnacentral:piRNA from 1 species